CUACGGGAGGCAGCAGUGGGGAAUAUUGGACAAUGGGGGCAACCCUUAUCCAGCAAUGCCGCGUGUGUGAAGAAGGCCUGCGGGUUGUAAAGCACUUUCAAUAGGGAGGAAAAGCUUUGGGUUAAUACCCCGAAGUCUUGACGUUACCUUUAGAAGAAGCACCGGCUAACUCUGUGCCAGCAGCCGCGGUAAUACAGAGGGUGCGAGCGUUAAUCGGAAUUACUGGGCGUAAAGCGCGCGUAGGCGGUUUGAUAAGUCAGAUGUGAAAGCCCCGGGCUUAACCUGGGAACUGCAUUUGAUACUGUCAAACUAGAGUAUGGUAGAGGGGAGUAGAAUUCCUGGUGUAGCGGUGAAAUGCGUAGAUAUCAGGAGGAAUACCAGUGGCGAAGGCGGCUACCUGGACCAAUACUGACGCUGAGGUGCGAAAGCGUGGGGAGCAAACAGGAUUAGAUACCCUCGUAGUC
rnacentral:rRNA from 1 species